GGAAUGGUAGCUCAGUGGUAGAGCAUCUGCCUUGCAUGCAGAUGGUCCCAGGAUCAAAUCCUGGCAUCUCCA